AACGAACGCUGGCGGCAGGCCUAACACAUGCAAGUCGAGCGCGCCCUUCGGGGUGAGCGGCGGACGGGUGAGUAACGCGUGGGAACGUGCCCUUUUCUACGGAAUAGCCUCGGGAAACUGAGAGUAAUACCGUAUACGCCCUUUGGGGGAAAGAUUUAUCGGAAAAGGAUCGGCCCGCGUUGGAUUAGGUAGUUGGUUGGGUAAUGGCCUACCAAGCCGACGAUCCAUAGCUGGUUUGAGAGGAUGAUCAGCCACACUGGGACUGAGACACGGCCCAGACUCCUACGGGAGGCAGCAGUGGGGAAUCUUAGACAAUGGGGGCAACCCUGAUCUAGCCAUGCCGCGUGAGUGAUGAAGGCCUUAGGGUUGUAAAGCUCUUUCAGCUGGGAAGAUAAUGACGGUACCAGCAGAAGAAGCCCCGGCUAACUCCGUG
rnacentral:rRNA from 1 species